UACGAAGGGGGCUAGCGUUGUUCGGAAUUACUGGGCGUAAAGCGCACGCAGGCGGAUUGAUUAGUCGGGGGUGAAAUCCCGGGGCUCAACCUCGGAAUUGCCUUCGAUACUGUCAGUCUUGAGUCCGGGAGAGGUGAGUGGAAUUCCUAGUGUAGAGGUGAAAUUCGUAGAUAUUAGGAAGAACACCAGUGGCGAAGGCGGCUCACUGGCCCGGUACUGACGCUCAUGUGCGAAAGCGUGGGGAGCAAACAAG
rnacentral:rRNA from 1 species